AGGCCUAACACAUGCAAGUCGAGCGGUAGAGAGAAGCUUGCUUCUCUUGAGAGCGGCGGACGGGUGAGUAAUGCCUAGGAAUCUGCCUGGUAGUGGGGGAUAACGUUCGGAAACGAACGCUAAUACCGCAUACGUCCUACGGGAGAAAGCAGGGGACCUUCGGGCCUUGCGCUAUCAGAUGAGCCUARGUCGGAUUAGCUAGUUGGUGGGGUAAUGGCYCACCAAGGCGACGAUCCGUAACUGGUCUGAGAGGAUGAUCMGYCACACUGGAACUGAGACACGGYCCAGACUCCUACGGGAGGCAGCAGUGGGGAAUAUUGGACAAUGGGCGAAAGCCUGAUCCAGCCAUGCCGCGUGUGUGAAGAAGGUCUUMKGAUUGURAAGCWCUUUAAGUURGGAGGAAGGGCCAUUACCUAAUACGUGAUGGUUUUGACGUUACCGACAGAAWAAGCACCSGCUAACUCUGUGCCARCAGCCCGCGGUAAUACAGAGGGUGCAAGCGUUAAUCGGAAUUACUGGKCGUAAAGCGCGCGUAGGUGGUUUGUUAAGUUSGAUGUGAAAUCCCCGGGCUCWACCUGGGAACUGCAUUCRAAACUGACUGACUAGAGUAKGGUARAGGGWGGUGGAAUUUCCUGUGUAGCGGUGAAAUGCGUAGAUAUAGGAAGGAACACCAGUGGCGAAGCGACCACCUGGACUGAUACUGACMCUGAGUGMGAAGCRUGGGGAGYAAACAGGAUUAGAUACCCUGGUAGUCCACGCCGUAAACGAUGUCAACUAGCCGUUGGGAGCUGAGSUCUAGUGCGCACUAACGCAUAAGUGACCGCCUGGGGAGKACGCCGCAGWUAAACUCARAUGAUUGACGGGGUCCGCACWAGCGUGGAGCAUGUGUUUAGUCGAUGCACGYSAAGACGUACCAUGCUGAMUCRAUGAACUUCAGAGAWUGAUGUGCCUCGGAACAURAUACAGGRCUGCAUGACUKCCGCMGCYCGKUCUGCAAUKUGGUUAGUUCGUACGAGCCAACCUGCCUAGUACAGGCGGUAUUGYGAMCCUUAGGAUCUGCGG
rnacentral:rRNA from 1 species